rnacentral:lncRNA from 1 species
AAAAAUAAUAGAAGGACAGAGAGAAGUCUUUGGGGCAUUUCGGGAAUGAUUUCUCCUAUAUAAAAAAAUGAAGUGCUAAGAGGGAGUUUCUUCAAUGGAAGUCGCCAGAGGAAGAAAGAAAGAAGAGCAGGUCACGAUGAAAGCCUUCUCUACUGCUGCGGCUGUUCAAUUCUCCAUGCAGGGCUAAGCUCUUCUCUAGGGCUGGAUGCAGCCCUAACAAAGGGCCAAGAGUUUUAUAUUUUUGAUUUCUAUUCUU